rnacentral:rRNA from 1 species
UACGUAGGGCGCGAGCGUUGUCCGGAUUUAUUGGGCGUAAAGAGCUCGUAGGCGGCUUGUCGCGUCGACCGUGAAACCUCACAGCUCAACUGUGAGCCUGCGGUCGAUACGGGCAGGCUAGAGUUCGGUAGGGGAGACUGGAAUUCCUGGUGUAGCGGUGAAAUGCGUAGAGAUGUGGAGGAACACCAGUGGCGAAGGCGGCGCGUCUGGGCCGGUACUGACACUGAGGAGCGAAAGCGUGGGUAGCAAACAGG